CAGUUAUUGUAAUGGUGUACAGUGACAUAGAGCACAAUAGCAUAUGCAAUGUGCUGCAUAGAUGAGGACGAUGAUGUAAUUACAGUGGUUACACCAUUGAGGACAAAUAAGUCAUUACAGUGUUUAUACU